GUGCUCGCUUCGGCAGCACAUAUACUAAAAUUGGAAUGAUACAGAGAAGAUUAGCAUGGCCCCUGCGCAAGUAUGAUAAAAAUUAAAAAAUAAAUAAAUUAAA
rnacentral:snRNA from 1 species